CAAGAAGCAGCUGAAGCUGUAUGCCAAAAAGCUCAAGGACAUGGGAGCCAGCCAACAUAAGAGACAGUCUGGAUAUUACGGCGCCGAGCCCGGUGCUGAGCUGCUGGAGGGGCCG